GACUGCGUCGCUUAGUGGUUAGAGCAGCUCGUUGUGGUUAAAUUCGCCUCAGCGAUUCCGAGCAGACGGGUGUUCGAUUCACCCCGCGGUCA